GAUGAACGCUGGCGGCGUGCCUAAUACAUGCAAGUCGAGCGAACAGAUGAGGAGCUUGCUCCUCUGACGUUAGCGGCGGACGGGUGAGUAACACGUGGAUAACCUACCUAUAAGACUGGGAUAACUUCGGGAAACCGGAGCUAAUACCGGAUAAUAUAUUGAACCGCAUGGUUCAAUAGUGAAAGACGGUUUUGCUGUCACUUAUAGAUGGAUCCGCGCCGCAUUAGCUAGUUGGUAAGGUAACGGCUUACCAAGGCAACGAUGCGUAGCCGACCUGAGAGGGUGAUCGGCCACACGGGAACUGAGACACGGUCCAGACGACUACGGGAGGCAGCAGUAGGGAAUCUUCCGCAAUGGGCGAAAGCCUGACGGAGCAACGCCGCGUGAGUGAUGAAGGUCUUCGGAUCGUAAAACUCUGUUAUUAGGGAAGAACAAAUGUGUAAGUAACUAUGCACGUCUUGACGGUACCUAAUCAGAAAGCCACGGCUAACUACGUG
rnacentral:rRNA from 1 species